rnacentral:tRNA from 1 species
GGAGAGGUGUCGGAGUGGCUGAUCGAGCUGGUUUCGAAAACCAGUGUUCCGUUUACGGAACCGUGGGUUCGAAUCCCACCCUCUCCG